GAAUCUUGGACAAUGGGGGCAACCCUGAUCCAGCGACGCCGCGUGGGUGACGAAGGCCUUCGGGUUGUAAAGCCCUUUUGCCGGGGACGAUGAUGACGGUACCCGGAGAAGAAGCACCGGCUAACUCCGUGCCAGCAGCCGCGGUAAGACGGAGGGUGCUAGCGUUGUUCGGAAUUACUGGGCGUAAAGGGCGCGUAGGCGGCCUGUUAAGUCGGGUGUGAAAGCCCGGGGCUCAACCCCGGAACGGCAUCCGAGACUGGCGGGCUCGAGACCGGGAGAGGAGGGUGGAAUACCCAGUGUAGAGGUGAAAUUCGUAGAUAUUGGGUGGAACACCGGUGGCGAAAGCGGCUCUCUGGCCCGGGUCUGACGCUGAGGCGCGAAAGCGUGGGGAGCAAACAGG
rnacentral:rRNA from 1 species